rnacentral:rRNA from 1 species
UACAGAGGUGGCAAGCGUUGUUCGGAUUUACUGGGCGUAAAGCGCACGUAGGCGGGUUGUUAAGUCAGGGGUAAAAUCCUGGAGCUCAACUCCAGAACUGCCUUUGAUACUGGCAACCUAGAGGCUGGAAGAGGUUAGUGGAAUUCCCAGUGUAGAGGUGAAAUUCGUAGAUAUUGGGAAGAACACCAGUGGCGAAGGCGGCUAACUGGUCCAGAUCUGACGCUGAGGUGCGAAAGCGUGGGGAGCAAACAGG